rnacentral:tRNA from 2 species
GGAGAGGUGCCGGAGUGGUUGAACGGGCUUGCCUGGAAAGUAAGUGUACGGUGUUGAACCGUACCGAGGGUUCGAAUCCCUCCCUCUCCGCCA